AUAGCAACUUUGCUCAUUAAAUUCGUUUGUUUACUAAGAAAAUACGAUCGUCACCAAAUUAUAAACUACCAAAUAAUUACGACUUGUAAUUAUCUAUAUUUUGUUUCAGUUAACAUUUAAACUGUUUUCUAUCUAUAGAAUUUAAUGAAUAACUCUUUUAUUCUGCAUGCCGCUUCCAAUAUGGCGUCACAGUCAACAAGUGUUUUCAUUGACAGAUUGAAUAUGCAUCAGGUUUCGGAAAUUCCAGAAGAAGGCGAUGAUAGAAACUUCACUACUUGACAUUGCACUCCUUAUUCCCGAAGUAGAAAAGGGUAAUCGAACAUGAUGAUUCUGAAGAUGAUUCCACUGAUCCAGUGAAUGGUUUAGGAAGAAGUGAACUGCCGAGAAACUCAGUGUGAUUUCGUGCCAAAAGGAACGAACGAUGUCAAUGAAGAGGAAACUAUUGAAGGAAACAGCUGCAACAGCACUUUGAACACACCUUCCUGAUCACUGCUUGUCGCAGCUGACUAGUUUGCAGAAUGCAUUUGGGAUUUGAAGACAAUUUGGAAGCUUGCUAUGCAAUAAAGUUUUGUGUUAAACUGGG
rnacentral:lncRNA from 1 species